rnacentral:rRNA from 1 species
AUUGAACGCUGGCGGCAUGCCUUACACAUGCAAGUCGAACGGCAGCACGGGAGCAAUCCUGGUGGCGAGUGGCGAACGGGUGAGUAAAGUAUCGGAACGUGCCCAGUCGUGGGGGAUAACGUAGCGAAAGUUACGCUAAUACCGCAUACGCACUGAGGUGGAAAGCAGGGGACCUUCGGGCCUUGUGCUAUUGGAGCGGCCGAUGUCAGAUUAGCUAGUUGGUGGGGUAAAAGCUCACCAAGGCGACGAUCUGUAGCUGGUCUGAGAGGAUGAUCAGCCACACUGGGACUGAGACACGGCCCAGACUCCUACGGGAGGCAGCAGUGGGGAAUUUUGGACAAUGGGGGCAACCCUGAUCCAGCCAUGCCGCGUGAGUGAAGAAGGCCUUCGGGUUGUAAAGCUCUUUCGGCCGGGAAGAAAUCGCCAUCUCUAAUAUAGGUGGUGGAUGACGGUACCGGAAUAAGAAGCACCGGCUAACUACGUGCCAGCCGCCGCGGUAA